rnacentral:rRNA from 1 species
UACGUAGGCAGCAAGCGUUGUUCGGAGUUACUGGGCGUAAAGGGUGUGUAGGCGGUUCUUUAAGUUUGGUGUGAAAUCUCCCGGCUCAACUGGGAGGGUGCGCCGAAUACUGAGGGACUAGAGUACGGGAGAGGAAAGUGGAAUUCCUGGUGUAGCGGUGAAAUGCGUAGAUAUCAGGAGGAACACCGGUGGCGAAGGCGGCCCCCUGGUUGGAUACUGACGCUGAGACGCGAAAGCGUGGGGAGCAAACAGG